GAUGAACGCUGGCGGCGUGCCUAAUACAUGCAAGUCGAGCGAACGGACGAGAAGCUUGCUUCUCUGAUGUUAGCGGCGGACGGGUGAGUAACACGUGGAUAACCUACCUAUAAGACUGGGAUAACUUCGGGAAACCGGAGCUAAUACCGGAUAAUAUUUUGAACCGCAUGGUUCAAAAGUGAAAGACGGUCUUGCUGUCACUUAUAGAUGGAUCCGCGCCGCAUUAGCUAGUUGGUAAGGUAACGGCUUACCAAGGCAACGAUGCAUAGCCGACCUGAGAGGGUGAUCGGCCACACUGGAACUGAGACACGGUCCAGACUCCUACGGGAGGAAGCAGUAGGGAAUCUUCCGCAAUGGGCGAAAGCCUGACGGAGCAACGCCGCGUGAGUGAUGAAGGUCUUCGGAUCGUAAAACUCUGUUAUUAGGGAAGAACAUAUGUGUAAGUAACUGUGCACAUCUUGACGGUACCUAAUCAGAAAGCCACGGCUAACUACGUG
rnacentral:rRNA from 1 species